CUAAUUUCCUACCGCGAUUGGUACCUGUGAAAAAUAAGCGCGUUUCAGCUUCUUUGAGAUAUAAUUGUGUCCAUUUAUUAAAUUUUUUACUUUGUCGAACGAUGUUUCGUUCAUGAAUAAUAAUAUCAGUUUCACACAAUUCCGUCCGCUUUUCAUUGUUCAUAAAACGACGAGUGCACACAGUAAAAUGUUAUACUAACAAUUCAAUCAUUACAACGG